rnacentral:rRNA from 1 species
AUGGCUAGUAAUUGGAGUUUCAGACAAUUUGGGGAGGUAAUUUGUAGCCAAUAUCCUUGGGGUUUGCUUGAUGAAGUGGUAUACAAAUACUAUGAUGGGGAAAAGAAUUGGGUGACAAUUAGUAAUGAUGAAGAGCUAGCUACCAUGUUUGUUAGGCAUAAAGAGAAAGAUAAUUUUCAUGUGAGGCUGCAAGUUGAUGUGCUUGAGCAGGCAUUUGGACCUAGGAUGGCGGGUGCAACAUCUCGGGGAGAAUCAAGUCGUCGUAAUGGCAUCUCUAGCCAGCACAGUUCAGUUGGUGCACGGCGACGUGGUGGCUCGACAAGUGUGGGCAACAGCAGUAGAGCCCCCCUUGAAGUGGAGCCUGAUGGCUACAAUUCUGGGGUUGAUGAAGAGAAGUUAUAUUCUGAUGUUAUUCAGAAUUUACGACGGGCACCUCGGGCUGAAAACCAAGAUGAGGCUCACAAUGCAGUCCGUGUGGAUGAUGACGCGAUGGGUGAGGACGAAGACCUUGCAGCUGUUGAAUGGGACCCUUUGAACCCUCAAAUGGAAGAAGGUACAGUUUUUGCAUCCAUGAAUGAGUGUAGAAAUGCACUUGUGACAUACUGCAUCAAGGUAGAACGUACUUUCAAAGUUGACAAGAGCGAUCAAGUACGUUACAGAGUGCACUGUCCGACUGAGGGUUGUCCAUGGAGGCUGCUUGCAGCUAAAAUGUGGAAUAGCACUAAUGUUCAGGUCAAAGUGAAUCCUUUUAAACACACAUGCUAG